rnacentral:SRP_RNA from 1 species
GCCGGGGAACUUCUGGAAUAAUGCGGUCUGAACCAGGUCAGGACAGGAAUGUAGCAGCCUUUAAGACUAUCCUUAUGCUAGGAGCACUCUCCGGCAUU